UAGGGAAUCUUCCACAAUGGACGCAAGUCUGAUGGAGCAACGCCGCGUGAGUGAAGAAGGUUUUCGGAUCGUAAAGCUCUGUUGUUGGUGAAGAAGGAUAGAGGCAGUAACUGGUCUUUAUUUGACGGUAAUCAACCAGAAAGUCACGGCUAACUACGUGCCAGCAGCCGCGGUAAUACAUAGGUGGCAAGCGUUGUCCGGAUUUAUUGGGCGUAAAGCGAGCGCAGGCGGAAUGAUAAGUCUGAUGUGAAAGCCCACGGCUCAACCGUGGAACUGCAUCGGAAACUGUCAUUCUUGAGUGCAGAAGAGGAGAGUGGAAUUCCAUGUGUAGCGGUGGAAUGCGUAGAUAUAUGGAAGAACACCAGUGGCGAAGGCGGCUCUCUGGUCUGCAACUGACGCUGAGGCUCGAAAGCAUGGGUAGCGAACAGG
rnacentral:rRNA from 1 species